AUAUCCACAAACUGUUUUCUGCCAGUGGUCCGCCAUUGUUGUUUUGGUUUUCAAUGCUUGAAUUUUGUUAUGUGAAACGUCACUCAGACGAAAGUCCAGCCCUAUUUAUACUAAUGCUAGAGCAAAAAGUGUUAGCUCUUUCCCAUUUCCUUUACCUGAAUUGCCAACAUCACCAAAGAUUCAGAUCAAACCCAGACCAAGACAAGGUGGCAACAAUUCUAAGAGUGUGGUUCUUGUAACUCCUCCUUUCCCCAAAAGUUCACAAUCACCAAAUUCAAUGAAUCUGUUUAUUUUGAUGUCAACAUUUAGGGCCAGGCCCUAAGCUCUCGAAGACCUUUUCCUUUUUCAAGAAUUAGAUUUGGCAGGUAACGUGUUCCUCAUGUUGCUAUGGUGACCUUGACUGUUGGUUCAAUUGUUGUCGACAGAUUACAGACUAACCUUUACCAGUAUAGGGACUCAUUGCAAUCAGGAAAAUAUCAUUGCAAUUAUGAAAUGACGAGUAGCAAUAACACGAAUUCAAAUUUUGGAUUUCUCAUGAAAGAUGGAGUUCUCUGUCGUGUGCAGCUCAGGUACCGUAAAGCAGAACCCGUAGAAAAAGUUUAGCUUAGCCGAUAGCGCGACUGCCUGGUGCAAACUGGUUCCAAGCUUUAGGCUUGGAACCAGCUUGCACCAAGUAUACCCUAAUGAAGUAUUUGAUGGACUUCUUUUUAAUGCUGAAACUAAAGCCACUCCAAGCAUGUUAUUUUCUGUAUUAUAUUUCCCCUUUUUAUUUAUGCUUGCGCAAGGCUAUUUCAAGGCAAUAGUUUUUAACUUUUUAAAUUGAUUGCUCAGAAUGAGGCUAUUCCAAGCACAGCAAACAUGAAAUGUUUGCUGUGCUUGGAAUAACCUUGGCGCAAGCAUAAAUAUUAACAAAUUAACUGAUUAUAUAUUAUAGGCUAAUUAUGAAAUAAAUAUUGCAUAUAUGUUUCAUUUGAAUUCCUUAUAUGAAUAAAAAUAUAUUUAUAC